CUCUGCGAGAAGUCCAUUGAACCUUAUCAUUUAGAGGAAGGAGAAGUCGUAACAAGGUUUCCGUAGGUGAACCUGCGGAAGGAUCAUUGUCGAGACCGAUCGAGCAAUUUAGAGAACUCGUGAAAUAAGUAACAAAACAUUAAUCACAGACGCAGCCUCGUCUCCUCUGGUGGCGUGCCGCGAUGAAUGAUGGAUGAAAAAAAAUUCAAAUUGACGCAACUUCACGUCAAGGGAAUAUAAAAAAACACGAGCCCAUGAUCGGGCUUGGUGGCAUGGAGUGCCGAUGCACACCAUAUGGAUUGACAUGACUCUUGGCAAUGGAUAUCUCGGCUCUCGUAUCGAUGAAGAGCGCAGCGAAAUGUGAUACGUGGUGCGAAUUGCAGAAUCCCGCGAACCAUCGAGUCUUUGAACGCAAGUUGCGCCCGAGGCCAAUCGGCCAAGGGCACGUCUGCUUGGGCGUCAAGCUUUGUGUCGCUCUAUGCCAACUCCAUCUCGUUGAUGGGUGUGUUGUAUGAGGCUAGGAUGCGUAAAAUGGCUCGUCGUGCCCAUCGGUGUGGCGGGUUGAAGAGCGGGUCACCGUCUCAUUGGCCAUGAAUAAUAAUGGGUGGAUAAAAGCUUUGAGCAAGUCCUACGUUGUCUUGUGGCUUCUUGAGAAAAGACUUUAUACCGUGGAUGUGAUCCCAACCCAUGCGCCGAUCCACAUGCGGCGACUUGGAAUGCGACCCAAGGAUGGGCGAGGCCACCCGCCGAGUUUAAGCAUAUCAA
rnacentral:rRNA from 1 species